GAGUUCAUGCCCUCACGGGUAGAUCUCCCACCCUUGAAUAUUAUACCUUCGUUGCUUUGGCAGGCCGUGGAAACACCAGAGGCUCCGGCUGAUGCGUGCCUGCCAGAGGAAACAAACCCUGUUUGUCUAUAAUGUCUGAGUACUAUAUAAUAGUUAAAACUUUCAACAACGGAUCUCUUGGUUCU
rnacentral:misc_RNA from 1 species